AACGAACGCUGGCGGCAUGCCCUACACAUGCAAGUCGAACGAGACCUUCGGGUCUAGUGGCGCACGGGUGCGUAACGCGUGGGAAUCUGCCCUUCGGUUGGGAAUAACUGAGAGAAAUUUCAGCUAAUACCUUAUAAUGUCUUCGGACCAAAGAUUUAUCGCCGAGGGAUGAGCCCGCGUAGGAUUAGGUAGUUGGUGGGGUAAUGGCCUACCAAGCCGACGAUCCUUAGCUGGUCUGAGAGGAUGAUCAGCCACACUGGGACUGAGACACGGCCCAGACUCCUACGGGAGGCAGCAGUGGGGAAUAUUGGACAAUGGGCGAAAGCCUGAUCCAGCAAUGCCGCGUGAGUGAUGAAGGCCUUAGGGUUGUAAAGCUCUUUUACCCGGGAUGAUAAUGACAGUACCGGGAGAAUAAGCUCCGGCUAACUCCGUG
rnacentral:rRNA from 1 species